UUAAGCGACUAAGCGUACACGGUGGAUGCCCUGGCAGUCAGAGGCGAUGAAGGACGUGCUAAUCUGCGAAAAGCGUCGGUAAGGUGAUAUGAACCGUUAUAACCGGCGAUGUCCGAAUGGGGAAACCCAGUGCAAUUCGUUGCACUAUCGUUAACUGAAUACAUAGGUUAACGAGGCGAACCGGGGGAACUGAAACAUCUAAGUACCCCGAGGAAAAGAAAUCAACCGAGAUUCCCCCAGUAGCGGCGAGCGAACGGGGAGCAGCCCAGAGUCUGAAUCAGCUUGUGUGUUAGUGGAACGGUCUGGAAAGUCCGACGGUACAGGGUGAUAGUCCCGUACACCAAAAUGCACAGGCUGUGAACUCGAAGAGUAGGGCGGGACACGUGGUAUCCUGUCUGAAUAUGGGGGGACCAUCCUCCAAGGCUAAAUACUCCUGACUGACCGAUAGUGAACCAGUACCGUGAGGGAAAGGCGAAAAGAACCCCGGCGAGGGGAGUGAAAAAGAACCUGAAACCGUGUACGUACAAGCAGUGGGAGCACCUUCGGGUGUGACUGCGUACCUUUUGUAUAAUGGGUCAGCGACUUAUAUUCUGUAGCAAGGUUAACCGUAUAGGGGAGCCGCAGGGAAACCGAGUCUUAACUGGGCGUUAAGUUGCAGGGUAUAGACCCGAAACCCGGUGAUCUAGCCAUGGGCAGGUUGAAGGUUGGGUAACACUAACUGGAGGACCGAACCGACUAAUGUUGAAAAAUUAGCGGAUGACUUGUGGCUGGGGGGGAAAGGCCAAUCAAACCGGGAGAUAGCUGGUUCUCCCCGAAAGCUAUUUAGGUAGCGCCUCGUGAACUCAUCUUCGGGGGUAGAGCACUGUUUCGGCUAGGGGGUCAUCCCGACUUACCAACCCGAUGCAAACUACGAAUACCGAAGAAUGUUAUCACGGGAGACACACGGCGGGUGCUAACGUCCGUCGUGAAGAGGGAAACAACCCAGACCGCCAGCUAAGGUCCCAAAGUCAUGGUUAAGUGGGAAACGAUGUGGGAAGGCACAGACAGCCAGGAUGUUGGCUUAGAAGCAGCCAUCAUUUAAAGAAAGCGUAAUAGCUCACUGGUCGAGUCGGCCUGCGCGGAAGAUGUAACGGGGCUAAACCAUGCACCGAAGCUGCGGCAGCGACACUAUGUGUUGUUGGGUAGGGGAGCGUUCUGUAAGCCUGCGAAGGUGUGCUGUGAGGCAUGCUGGAGGUAUCAGAAGUGCGAAUGCUGACAUAAGUAACGAUAAAGCGGGUGAAAAGCCCGCUCGCCGGAAGACCAAGGGUUCCUGUCCAACGUUAAUCGGGGCAGGGUGAGUCGACCCCUAAGGCGAGGCCGAAAGGCGUAGUCGAUGGGAAACAGGUUAAUAUUCCUGUACUUGGUGUUACUGCGAAGGGGGGACGGAGAAGGCUAUGUUAGCCGGGCGACGGUUGUCCCGGUUUAAGCAUGUAGGCUGAUUAUCCAGGCAAAUCCGGAUAACCAAGGCUGAGGUGUGAUGACGAGGCACUACGGUGCUGAAGUAACAAAUGCCCUGCUUCCAGGAAAAGCCUCUAAGCAUCAGGUAACAUCAAAUCGUACCCCAAACCGACACAGGUGGUCAGGUAGAGAAUACCAAGGCGCUUGAGAGAACUCGGGUGAAGGAACUAGGCAAAAUGGUGCCGUAACUUCGGGAGAAGGCACGCUGGUGUGUAGGUGAAGUCCCUGCGGAUGGAGCUGAGACCAGUCGAAGAUACCAGCUGGCUGCAACUGUUUAUUAAAAACACAGCACUGUGCAAACACGAAAGUGGACGUAUACGGUGUGACGCCUGCCCGGUGCCGGAAGGUUAAUUGAUGGGGUUAUCCGUAAGGAGAAGCUCUUGAUCGAAGCCCCGGUAAACGGCGGCCGUAACUAUAACGGUCCUAAGGUAGCGAAAUUCCUUGUCGGGUAAGUUCCGACCUGCACGAAUGGCGUAAUGAUGGCCAGGCUGUCUCCACCCGAGACUCAGUGAAAUUGAACUCGCUGUGAAGAUGCAGUGUACCCGCGGCAAGACGGAAAGACCCCGUGAACCUUUACUAUAGCUUGACACUGAACAUUGAGCCUUGAUGUGUAGGAUAGGUGGGAGGCUUUGAAGCGUGGACGCCAGUCUGCGUGGAGCCAACCUUGAAAUACCACCCUUUAAUGUUUGAUGUUCUAACGUUGGCCCCU
rnacentral:rRNA from 1 species